rnacentral:lncRNA from 1 species
CGCGGCUUGGAUGGGCUCGCCGGGGCCAGGCUGGGCCGGGGCUGGGCGCGCGGUCACCCCCGGCACUCAAGGACUUCCCGCACCAACCCAUGCUGAGGAGGGGCUUGGUGGCAGCCUCAGGAAACACUCCCAUCGCCAGCCACCGCAGCAGGGAAAGCACCUGGCCUCACCAGCUCCAGGCUUCCAGAAGGAGCUGCCCUCCUGACUCGCAGCCGUCGAAUGUGCUUAGCUCCCAGCACCUGGGCCACUCAUGGACAGCACUCGCACGUGUUCCGCCCCGCCCCCCACCUCCAUGGCUCAGCCGGGCCUUGGCACUCCUCUCUCCAUGUGCCUGCCUGUCUCUGCGGACUCCUGGCUAGGGCUCAGCUGCCCAGUAGCCUGUGGAAGGGGGAACUGGUGCAGUUAUCAGUCAAUCCUCCCACAGGGCUGGGAUUACACACGUGAGCCACCGCACCCGGCAGUCAUUGCUGAGUCUAAGGACAUCUCUGCAUGGGUGCUGUUGUGCCUUCCUGUCGAUGACAUAUCCAUGUCACCCACACACACCUGUAUGCUGACAAACACGGACAUCUAUGUACAUUGGAGAAACCUGGGGAAAGCCCCAGGCUAGCCAUAGCCCUCCCAUCCAGCCAGCCAGUCCCAUGCUCUGUGCAACCUCAGAACCUUACUGAGCCACACAUCACCUGGUGGGUUUUAAUUCUUUAGUGGCGUUUUUGAAGAGUCUGUUCCUAUUUUCCUUAGACUGUCCCACAGUCUGGAUCCUUGGUUAAACGUUUGGGGCAAUGAUGAAGGGAGGUGACAAGUCAGCAGGAGGUGCAGGACAUCAGCGUGGCCAUGAGUGAGGACGUGAAGUUGAACCACUUGGUCAGCUUUGGGUCUGCUGAAUUCCUCCAUGGUCAAGGUCCGUGGCUCCUUGUGGAGUAAUUAAGGCAUGCGUGAGGUCAUUCUCUGAGACCACAAGCAUCAAGUUUUCCCAAUAACCAUUUGCCCAACAGUUUUAGCAUCAGUUAAUGAGUAGAUUCAGUGUUAAACCGUAAAGCUGCAAAAUCAUGGCU